rnacentral:miRNA from 1 species
AAAAAUUGUGGUAGUGUCAAGC